CAUUGGGCCCUGCAAACAUAUAGGUCUGGACAUGAAAGAACUGAUGACUCUGUCUCUAUAGGGUUGCAGUUUUGGACCGAGUCACAGACUUCCUGUUGUUUCUGGGCAAAGUGCUGAUAGCAGGAGGAGUUGGUGUGGUUGCAUUCUUCUUCUUUACUAGGAAGAUCCCUGUUAUCCAGGAGGAGGAGCCCAACCUCAACUACUACUGGGUCCCCCUGCUGACGGUGGUGAUGGGUGCCUACCUGAUCGCUCAUGGUUUCUUCAGCGUCUAUGCCAUCUGUGUUGACACGCUCUUCCUCUGCUUCUGUGAUGACUUGGAGAGGCAUGAUGGGAGUUCAGAAAAACCUUUCCUCAUGUCCCCAGAGCUGCACAGAAUUUUGGGGAAAUCCAGUCAGUCGCGUUGAUAUGCGAUCCUCCUGUCCCGUCCCUGAGCAGCCAGUGUGCUGAGUGGACCAUGCUCUCUGUAACACUGCACAGGGCUGACAGGUCUGGCUGCUAGGCAACAUGAGGAGCAGCAGGAGCAGCAUGCCUCAUGAUAACCACUCAGCAACAGUGACAGCACAUGUCAGACAUGUAUGGAACCAAUAGGAAGGUCAGAAUCAAAGACUUCUCAAAGUUCCCUUCCAGUGAGGCCGCUGCGGUGUUUAGUGCUGCCGUCAUUGGUCUAAAGUCACGUUUAAGCCCUGAAAUGAGUAAGUGAGAAGAACCUUGUUUUGUAUUAAGAUUCAGUUCAUGUGUUUGAAAAAGCCUCCUUUGAACUUGUAAUUGUACCUUUUAAUGUGUUGUGUGUUUUGGAUGAAUGUUUGAAAAAAUGUUUGGCAAAAAACUGAAAAUGUAUGAAAAUCAGUUUGUACCAAAAGCUCCACCUCAAGUUUCACAUCAUGUAUACACCCUGUUCCUUUUAUAAGAUGGAUUGAUUUUGUAUUGGGUCUUUGGUUUUUUUUAUUUGUAAAGCUGAUUCAAGUAAAAUACAAUAAAAA